rnacentral:rRNA from 1 species
UACGAAGGGGACUAGCGUUGUUCGGAAUUACUGGGCGUAAAGCGCACGUAGGCGGAUUUGUAAGUCAGGGGUGAAAUCCCGGGGCUCAACCUCGGAACUGCCUUUGAUACUGCAAAUCUCGAGUCCGAUAGAGGUGGGUGGAAUUCCUAGUGUAGAGGUGAAAUUCGUAGAUAUUCGGAGGAACACCAGAAGCGAAGGCGGCCAACUGGCCCGAUACUGACGCUGAGGCGCGAAAGCGUGGGGAGCAAACAGG